rnacentral:tRNA from 2 species
GGGCGGUUAGCUCAGCUGGUUAGAGCGCUACGUUGACAUCGUAGAGGUCGCAGGUUCAAGUCCUGCACCGCCCACCA